AACAAGAUUCGAAUAGAUUUUGAUCCUAAUGAAAUUCUUUUCAGCACGAUGAAUGACAAUGGAGGAUAUGUUGGUGGAUGCAGUUACAUUUGUUUCUUUGGUUUAAGAUUUGUUUUCUGUUGAUUUGUCACUAAUUUGCUACUUUGCAUAUAUAGCUGGCUGCUCACUUGACUUUUGGCUAAGGCCUAAAAGAAUGCACUUUGUGCUGGCAAAGUACUCCUUUUUUUUCUUUUCUAUCAUGUGAACAUUUAAUUUGACUUGUAAGAGGAAGGGGAAAAGAAGGGAGUAAGAGGCAGUUUGGUCUCAGAAGAAUGCACUUUUUUCUUUACCCUGCCUCUUACGGUUUGUGGCUGCAAUGGCUAGCAGUGUAUCUGGUUCAAGAAGUCUUGUCGACGUUGUUGCAUUCUUCUGAUGACCACACUGGAUCUGGUCAUUUGUUGCAUGAUAGAGGAUCCAUCACGGUGUAUUCAUGUAGUCAUUAUCUCCAUGCUUUCCUUCAUGCUCAGUGAAUGGAGACUGAAGACUGAAAACUGGUUGGUGCUCUUGCAGGUGAGAUUGAAGAUAUAAAAUUGGUCGGGGCUCUGGUAAGCUUUGUAAUGGAGAAAUUUUGCAGCUCUAGCUGUUUGUUUCAUAGCUUCUCAAAUUGCUGGGAAAAGGUAGAGAUGAAAACAUGGUGGCUAGAGCUAGUGUGGACCAAUGAUGGCACUUGGAGCUGGUACCUGCGUGACUAUUCCAUAUUUUCUGCUACUGGAUAGAGGCCUUUGCAGAGUACCUCCGUCGGUAUGGAAGAAAAUGUAUUGUUACCGAGUUAUACGGAGUAUUUGUUAUUCCAUUGGAUAUACGGAGUACAACUUAUCUGUGACUGUGACGACAUGUGCAUAAGUUGGUUUAAAACUUUAAAUGGGCUUCCCUGAAGACAUCGUGAGGAGUGCUCUGAAGAUUGUCGACGGGGACGAGAACAUGAUGGUGUGAAUUGAGGUUAACAAUAUGAUGGUUCCAAGAGCUUUUUCUUUGUGAUUCUUUAGCCAGCUGAUAGGGCGUGCAACGCGCGCGGUAAUGUCUAGUAUAGUUAAAGCAUACAUGAAAUAAGGUCCUAUUAGAAAAUUUUCAUCAUAGCAUUCAACC